CUGCGGUCCUCGUCAACUCGUCCGCCAUCAGCUCGUGCAUCCGCUCUUUGCACAAGCUCUGACACCUGCCAGCUGAUAAUUACAUGAGCGCCACCGUGGCCGUCGAAAACGCCGAAGAAAUGAAACGGCGAGCCUCCAGCCGGUCUAAAGAAACACGGGACAACCGAGACGGCGUCCUCCAUCUCUCUCGAUCGGCCCGAAAGCGCAACGCGAUCCGAAUCUAGAACAGGAUCCGAACCGUAGCGAGAGGAAGAACAUGUGUUCCUCCUCCUCCUCCUCCUCUAAUUGAUGGCUGCGGCGACAGUGGAUCGCGAUUCGAUCGUUCGCCUUCUUUUCUCAGCGCUCGCCAAAUCCGACGCCUCCGCUUCUCCUUUCAAAUCCGAUCCGACGGAGAUCGACGUCAACGUCGUGGAUUCUCGGCGACGGUCGAUAGCCGUCGCAUUUCGAUCCGACGGCGGCGAGACUCGCGGCAUUUUGCCGAGGAAUAGCCAUCUUCGCUCAUGUUGGCGAAAACAGCGGCCAUCAACUGGAGAGAAAUAAUCGGG